rnacentral:rRNA from 1 species
GGGGGGGGCAAGCGUUGUUCGGAAUUACUGGGCGUAAAGGGCUCGUAGGCGGCCAACUAAGUCGGAUGUGAAAUCCCCAGGCUCAACCUGGGAACUGCAUCCGAUACUGGAUGGCUUGAAUCCGGGAGAGGGAUGCAGAAUUCCAGGUGUAGCGGUGAAAUGCGUAGAUAUCUGGAGGAAUACCGGUGGCGAAGGCGGCAUCCUGGACCGGCAUUGACGCUGAUGAGCGAAAGCCAGGGGAGCAAACGGGAUUAGAUACCCCGGUAGUCCUGGCCCUAAACGAUGAAUGCUUGGUGUGACGGGUAUCGAUCCCUGUCGUGCCGAAGCUAACGCAUUAAGCAUUCCGCCUGGGGAGUACGGUCGCAAGGCUGAA